rnacentral:rRNA from 1 species
UGCGCCUUGCCAGCCCGCUCAGAAACUCAAAGGAAUUGACGGGGGCCCGCACAAGCGGCGGAGCAUGUGGAUUAAUUCGAUGCAACGCGAAGAACCUUACCUGGGUUUGACAUACACCGGAAAACCGUAGAGAUACGGUCCCCCUUGUGGUCGGUGUACAGGUGGUGCAUGGCUGUCGUCAGCUCGUGUCGUGAGAUGUUGGGUUAAGUCCCGCAACGAGCGCAACCCUUGUCUUAUGUUGCCAGCACGUAAUGGUGGGGACUCGUAAGAGACUGCCGGGGUCAACUCGGAGGAAGGUGGGGACGACGUCAAGUCAUCAUGCCCCUUAUGUCCAGGGCUUCACACAUGCUACAAUGGCCAGUACAGAGGGCUGCGAGACCGUGAGGUGGAGCGAAUCCCUUAAAGCUGGUCUCAGUUCGGAUCGGGGUCUGCAACUCGACCCCGUGAAGUCGGAGUCGCUAGUAAUCGCAGAUCAGCAACGCUGCGGUGAAUACGUUCCCGGGCCUU